rnacentral:rRNA from 1 species
GGGCCCGCACAAGCAGCGGAGCAUGUGGUUUAAUUCGACGCAACGCGAAAAACCUUACCAAGACUUGACAUCGUAUGUCCGCAAUGGAAACAUUGCUUCUCUUCGGAGCAUGCAGACAGGUGGUGCAUGGUUGUCGUCAGCUCGUGUCGUGAGAUGUUCGGUUAAGUCCGAUAACGAGCGCAACCCUCAUUACUAGUUGCCAAUAUUAAGUUAGGAACUCUAGUGAUACUGCCGUGGAUAACACGGAGGAAGGUGGGGAUGACGUCAAAUCAUCAUGCCCCUUAUGUCUUGGGCUACACACGUGCUACAAUGGCUAUUACAAAGAGCUGCGAGCUCGCAAGAGCAAGCGAAUCUCAAAAAGAUAGUCUCAGUUCGGAUUGUGGGCUGCAACCCGCCCACAUGAAGUCGGAGUUGCUAGUAAUCCCGAAUCAGCAUGUCGGGGUGAAUGCGUUCCCGGGCCUU